CACUCAGGGCGGGGUGAAAUUCCCCACCGGCGGUAAAGUCCGCGAGCCGUGUUUUGCGGCUGAUACGGUGAAAUUCCGUAACCGACGGUAAAGUCCGGAUGAAAGAGUAU
rnacentral:ncRNA from 1 species